AUUGAACGCUGGCGGCAGGCCUAACACAUGCCAGUCGAGCGCGCGGCGAACGGGUUAGUAAUGUCUGGGAAACUUCCUUAUGGAUGGGGCUAACUACUGGCAACGGUAGCUAAUACCGCAUACCAUCAGAUGUUCCCAGAUGGUAUGAGCUGGUAGGUGGGGGAACGGCUCACCUAGGCGACGAUCCCUAGCUGGUCUGAGAGGAUGACCAGCCACACUGGAACUGAGACACGGUCCAGACUCCUACGGGAGGCAGCAGGGGGGAAUAUUGCACAAUGGGCGCAAGCCUGAUGCAGCCAUGCCGCGUGUGUGAAGAAGGCCUUCGGUUUGUAAAGCACUUUCAGCGGGGAGGCGUUACCCGCAGAAGAAGCACCGGCUAACUCCGGGCCAGCAGCCGCGGUAAUAC
rnacentral:rRNA from 1 species